UACGUAGGGUGCAAGCGUUGUCCGGAAUUAUUGGGCGUAAAGAGCUCGUAGGCGGCGUGUCGCGUCGGUUGUGAAAGCCCGGGGCUUAACUCCGGGUCUGCAGUCGAUACGGGCAUGCUUGAGUUCGGUAGGGGAGAUCGGAAUUCCUGGUGUAGCGGUGAAAUGCGCAGAUAUCAGGAGGAACACCGGUGGCGAAGGCGGAUCUCUGGGCCGAUACUGACGCUGAGGAGCGAAAGCGUGGGGAGCGAACAGG
rnacentral:rRNA from 1 species